GAAGGGGGGCGAACUAGUUUGAACUAGUGUGAAUUGUUCGGUUCAGAGCAAUUCUGGGGUGUUUUCGGAAAAUAGGGCUGAAUUGUCUCAAUUCUGCCCUGAGGAUAUCAUCAAUAAGCAUAAUGAUUUAUCUCAUGUACAAGAAUUUCUAGGAGUACCUAAGAGAAAGUUAGUAAGUCGUCAAGUUAAAAUUCACACAAGACCUCCAUCAGAACAAGUCAUGAACUGGGAGAAUGUGUUCAAAAUGCUUAAUGGAACGAAGUAUGAGCGUUUUCUUCACUAUACUGAUUAUAAUAGUUAGUGUUCACAUAAUUGCUAUCCUGGUUUCUCCUCCUGUUAGCCAAUACUUGUCACAAUUAAUCGGGUUAGCUAUAUUAUUUUUUUGUGGAUUGAUAUUACCAACUGUUACAAGUUACAACAUUGUGUACUAUAAGAUUGAAUGAAAGCACAUAUAAAACAAAACACAGUGGAUAUAUUUUAAAGUGAGAAAAUUUUGCAAAAUUCUUUUAUCAAAAAUAGCUCGGUUUAGUACGAGGUGAAUUAGGUAGUUCGGCCUGAUUCGGCGGACUAUGAUUUCACCUUUCAAAUACUAAGAUACUUCUUAAAUUUUAAAGUUUCAUGAAUACUAUUAUACGUAAUCAUUACUAAAACCCAAAUACUUUGCCAACAAAGUUCUAUAAAUUAGUCUUUAAAGCAGGUCACCUAAAAUGAUGUUUAACAACAUAUAUCACUUCAACAAACUAGUUUAUUUCCAAUUUUGCAUAAUAUAUAUAUAUAUAUGUAUGUUUUUUUUAAUAAAUUAUAAGUUGCUUUAUUACAAAAAUUAUAGCUUGUAUACAUUCUUUAAGAGAACCCUCAGUUAUUGAGUGUUGAUAAUAAUUACAGAUUUUGGAUUUAUAGUUAUGCAACCAUGGAGAAUGCUCAUUUAAGAAAUAUGUCAAUAAAUAGGCAAAUUUCAAAAAAAUGAUUCAGUUAUUUCAUGAACUAUUUCUAAAUAAUCAUGAGUUAUUCAGUAAAAGUUGCUUGUAACUUCAUUUAUGAAAUUUAUUAUCUUGGUGUAAAGUUUGCAAAAUAACUUGUUAUGAAAAUUUUUGAGAAUCUUGAAUUGUUUUUUUAUAGAGUUUUAUCACUAGAGCUAUUGGAACAACAGGAAUAGGAAAGGCAUAAAGGCUUGUAGAGCAAGGAUUGUAGAAGCAGUACCGACAUGCAUCCUGGUCAGCGACCGGUACAGUACGGUACCGGUCCAUACUGUACUGAAUUGUGAUGUACUAGAACCACAGGGAGGGAUUCUAUGAUCGAAGGGAUUCUAUGAUCCAUGAUACAGAUUUGUUUAAUGAUUAGUUGAUUCGGAUCGAAGGUUGAGUUUUGGAUCGUUUGGGGUCUUUUUGAUCUGAAUGUAAGUUCUAGAUCAUGGAUCUUAAGAUUUUAAUACUAAUGGGCAAAGUACGCCAUCUCGGUACCGUGCCCCGUACCAGUGCCAUCCUGUUACUGUGUCGAUACGUUUGGUACAGGGGUCGGUUUGGCGUACUGAGUGUCAAUAUACCCUUUGUACUACAUACCGAUACCAAAUCAGUAUGGUACCAUACUCCGUACCAUCUAGUUUGGUAUGGUAUUGUACACCUUGGUAACGGCCUUCAUGGACCUUUCACCUUUUUCUUGUUAUUUUGGGGAAUGGAACAUUUCCCUAUUCAUUUUCACAAUCUGUAUUAAACCUUUGAAUUACUUGUUGUAAAAAGAAGAAUAAACUCUGUAGGCUCAAGUAUUUUAUAUGCCCGUCUUACAUAAAUUAACCUCAUUUGUAUAUUUGAUUUUGACUUCUUGAGCGUGUUUUGGGUGGUUGGCCAAGCAUAAUGCAUGUUUUUUUAUUUAUUUAAGUAUUAUCAUGUAGAAAUGUUAUCUCAUAAUAUCUGAUACAUACAUUAUUUGUUUUCUAAUGAUCUAUUGCAUUUUUAUUACAGGGAGUUCUCCAACAUCCCAAAGAAAUACUUGACUACUUCAAUUUAAACGGUGUUUCUGUGAUAUUUCUCUUCCGGAGGAAUCUCCUGCGUAGGCUCAUCUCUGUGCUAGCUAAUGAUUAUGACAGACAUGCAAAGCAGUUAAAUGGAACUCACAAGUCACAUGUCCAUUCAAAGGAAGAGGUCACCCCCUCCCCCCAGACCCACAAAAACACACACAAGAUGUUAUUAUACGAUCCAUACUGUUGUGCUGUUUGUGUUUAUGUUUUCAUCCCAUAAUUUACCAUCUUCACACUAAAUGUUCUUGCAAGCUUGAGAGAUAAUAGUUCAUGAAAGAAAACUCUCAUGGCCUAAUAUGUACAAAGAUAUCAUACUAUAUUAUAAACUUCAGAAUUUAUAUGAGCACAUAGCUUAGCAUUCAAAACUGAUUUUAUAUAAAAACCCUUGAAAUAUAUAUAUUAUGAAUAAGUUCUCACGUUUUAGUAAAAAGAAAAAUAGUGGACGAAAAGGCAUAUUCACAUGUAACCUCCUCAAAAUUAAUUUCCUUAGGUCCUUGAGGUGUUUUGCAUAAAAAAGUAGUAUAACUGGAGUUAAGUAAUGAACUUCCCAUUUCUAUUUGUACCUGCACCUCAACAUUCUUGGGUUGUAUGUCAACUUGCCUUUCCACCACAGAUGGGCACUUUGUGCUGAAUAAUUAGUUUAAAAUGGUGCAAUUUGUGUCACUAUUGCUAUUAGGGGUAUACUUUUGGAAGGUCUGUGAUUUGACAGGCUCAAGGACAAAGAAGACAUCUACCUCUUAUUAUAUCAUCAAAGAGAAGGUAUAGUGAGCACUGUUCUCAUGGAGUUGUAGUAGGAUAAAUUUUGUCAUGAUUGUUAUUAAUAAUAUUGCAUGAUGCUUUAUUUCACAUGGUCAAGAUAUCAAGAAACUGUGUCGAUGUUCAUGAAUUCAAUUUUUGGACACAUGUGAGGGGAACUUUUGUUGUUACCUAUACAUUAAGCAAUCCACUGUGUAGAGGUAUAAGUGUGACCUUCACCUAUAUUAAGUAUUCAAAAUAUGGCUGUGUUAACAAUUUGCCACAGCUAUGGACUUUAGUAAUAUAUAGAUUAUGAUAAUAACACAAAAAGGAUUAUGAAUAACUUAGUGAAAUAUACAGACAUAAUAUUCAUAGUCUAUUUAAGCUUGCCAUGAUGAAGACUCUUUGAUUUGGUGCUGGUAGUAGUCAUUUACCUUGAUCUAAUAUCGUUGCUCAAAUGAUUUGGUGGUUAAAUGAAUUUGUUUUAUCAAAUAUUAUUUACUUUUCUUGGUAAUGGUAGCUAAAACAUAAUUCAAUAAUCAAAUAGUUACAUAACAUUGCUUGGCGAUCUACUUGUGAUAGGUUGUUCUUCGGAGCCUUUAUUUGUAUUAGCAUCUUCUAGAUCCAGAGAUGGAAAGGGACUUGAUGGGACUUUGGCAACUUUUAGGAUGUUGAACUUUAGAGUUUAGAACAAGGUUCAUUGUACCGGUAUUGAGAGACCCUCUUCUCAUGCCCAUCCAUGAUAUUACCCAAAAUCGGCAAGUGCCGAUCAAUACAACAUGAAACUAGGUGAAACCAGUCAGUGUUACCUAGUAUAGGCUGGUUUGCCCCUUGCAUGAUACUAGUACCUUACCGGUACAAUACAAUAAGCUUUGGUACUAGACAGUAAAGGCUGGUUUGGCAAACCAUGGUUUAGAAAGACCUGCCUCUCCCCAUGGGAUGGAGUGUUUAGGGAUUGCUGUAGAUAUCAUGUCUCAUGACUCAAAACUUAUUCAGAUCUUGAGGGGUGGCUAUCAUAGUCGAUCAGAAUAUUGAACCAUCUUUAAAAUAGGUUGUGAAAUCACUCAGAGCAUUCACAAGGUAUUGUCUGAAAAGCCAUACAAUCAUAUUGACUUCCUUGCUGUGUGUAACUCAAGUCAACUUAACUAAAACUUAGUUUCAAUCAUUUUUUUUCAUGUCCAUAGGAUGUGACAAUAGUUUUAUGCUAGGUGUCAACCUGACUGCAUCCCUUCUCCUUUAUUCGGGCUUGGAUUGGCCAUGUAUGAAGUAUUAUACAUAGUUGGAGUUUUCCCUACUGGGCGUAGAAGCCUCCAAAAUGUUAGCUCAAUGUGUUCUUUAUCAUUCGAUUUGUUGCAAAGGAGUAUAUGAAGUGAUUAUCGAGAAGCACUUGCUAAAACCACUUGUAUAUAGUUUCUUUUGUUUUUCUCCGUUCCUUGCAAUGCAUCUUUAGUCUAAUGAGGUGCCAAGUUGAUUAGCAAAUAUACAUCAUAAAACAUUGUUAAUGAAGAAGAAAAGGAGGCCUAUGUAUAGGUUUUUAUCGAAGCUGGUGCUGAUGUGUCAUGGGGUGAGUGUUUUCUCCUUAUCCACACCCCAUGUAGUGACCCAACCUGAAAGUCUGGACCAGUCAAGUCCUUCACUGUGCAAUAUUCCAUCUGCAUGACCAAGCAUGCACCUUUAUUUUUCUUGCCUGGCAACCCUGUCAAACCUACCUCCUGCAACAUCCCCAAGUGCCUGUAAGAAACUUGACCCAUGAGUCAAUGGCAACACUUAUGCUCAUGUCUGUGUCUCAAUUGCUGUCCCUAGGACUGCUUUGCAACUAAGCAUCUCUAUACUAUUUCAAGGUCUUGCCUUUUAAGCUUGUAUUACUCAGUCUCAAACAUCUUUGCAUCAGCACUAUUACCCCCAGGCAAUUAUCUAUCCACUGUCCUCUAAUAUUGUAUGUCGACAAGCGAAGCUGCCAAGCCAACAUGUCCUGUAGGUCUACGAGCCACAGAUGGCUGUGCACAUCCAAGCCCACCAGGUUUUGGCUAUCCAGCCACCCACAAGCACUUAUGCCACAGUCUUGGUCUUGCAUCCUUGAUAUUACUCCAUACAUAGCUGUACCACCCAAAAAUGUUGUCCAUAGCCUGCUUGCAAACUAUUGCACUUUGCUAUAGAAUUUUUUGUCCAAGUUCAUUCAUCGAGUAAAAUUUCGUCAGCUACAACACCUCCAUGCAACCCAUUGUCCAAGCCAAAUGUGGGUGGUGAUUCAAUGAUGCUUUCAGGCGAAGAAAGUAGAAUCCUUUCGUGCAAAAGAUACAACCCGUUCCACAUCUACUAUUGCGUGCGUGCUCAUUGGGAAGGGAAAAAUGUAAACAUGUGACUGGCUGAGCUCAUGCUCAUAGGGAUGAAAAAACAGAAGAAGAAAAGGAGCCCCACAAACCUGUCUUCCUCCCUCCAUCCCGGCGACGGUGGCUGAGCCAAAGACGACCAUCAUCAGAAAAAAAAGGUAGGGCUUAACCUCCCUUUUGUUCCUCCUCCCUCCGGUCAACGAGCUGAAGCAUCGUCGGAAAAAACGGGGCUGAAGGCAUGUCCUGACUAGGAUGGCCAUAUCAGUACAUGACCCAUCCGGGAUGAAGGUGGGAUGGUCGGGAUAGAGGAUGGAAGUGCCUUUCGGGGUUCCACACUCGUUCCACAUGCCGUAAUCUCACUAGAACGGGAUAAGAUGUCUGGGACAGCCCCCAUCCCACCGGGAUUUCAAUUCUAGCACCUAAUUUUGUUUAGUAGAAUUUACAUUUUUCUCUCCGAGUCAUUAUACAGAUUUCCAUAUUUGAGCCUUCUCUUUAAAACAAACUCCUAAAGAACUUAAUUCUCAAAAAUCAAAAAAUUUUUUCUAGGAAAAUAAUAUUUUCUUGAUUUUAAAAAGUUAUACUUCGCUUCACAAUCUUACAAAUAGUUGUUUUUGUUAUGCUUUAUUAUUAGAUUGCAGAAUAUCUCUUUUCUGAACAUGUUUCAGUAUUGUGUUACACAUAUGUCAUCAUCUAUUGGACAAUUCAUUUGUGCAACGAAAUGUCUUCUUUAUGAUCUCAGUAAGUUUUUCAUGCUAAAGAACUACUAAUUUAUGUAGUUUAUUGACUGCUGGAAUACUUCUUUUUCCUUCUUGAGUUGUUUUCUUAAAAAUUUAUGUUGGAUCAAGUAUCGCAUUUAUCUUAAAUUUUUGCUAGCAUUGGCUUUAUCUGGUUGUAUCGUUUUCAUGUGCUUGUUUUGAUUUCUUUUUUCAUAUUCUUAAAAUUGUUUCCAUGUUCUUUUUUCAUGAUUUCUAAAUGAUAAUAGAAGAUCCUGAUUCAUUGACCAAGUAAAAGAUGGAAGACCUACACCUCAGUCAUAAAUUCGAGGAAGCACUGAACUAGCAAAUAAAAGUCGAUGAGAAGUGGGUACUUCCUAUGACAUUUGCAGGAUCAUCAAGUCAAUCCUUCUUGUGAUCCAUUGUUGUGUGCCUCUCUGACUUCAAGAAAAAAUUAAAGCAUGCUUUAUGUUCUUUUCAUUUUAUUUAUGUAUUGUUCUUUUUCCUAAUUAAGAAUUUAGCAUUUUUAAAUUUGUAAAGUUAAUCCAUUUGUUAAGAAAAUGAAUUGCUUGCAUCCUUUGACCUUUUACUAUCUCAUUACUUUUAAUUAUCUGCUACUGGUAGUGUCUUUUCUAUUUUUUCCUGUAGGGACGAGUUUAUCGUACAUCAUCAUUGUAGAAUAAGAAUGAUCGAAACAACGAUUUAUCCUGGACCGAACCAUAGGUACAAGGAAGCUUUUCGCGUUAAAAAACUGUUAAAUUGGGAAUGCUAUUUUGUGAUAUUUAUGUAAGCAUUUUCCCACUUAAAAAAACAGCAUUAAAUAAAAAGUUCUUUCCAUUUAUUUGCUUUCAUCAUCGGUCAGAUGGACUAGUUUUGUGUUCAAGGUACUGUGAUGUCUUUUAUUUUUUCCCCCUACAUUCAGGACCUUAUAUGGUGUGUAUUUUAGAUGACAUAUCAUCUUCUCAUGGGUUUUGUGAAAUAUCUUUUCCCAGCCACCUUGUUAACCGCUUAACUUUUUGGUGUAUGCUUUAACUGCACAUUUCAGGCUGAGAUACUUGCACGAUUUAAACCCACAAUCAAUAUUGCACUAUUGUUAUCCAACCUUGGCCAUGUUGAGAAGACCAUCACAGAUUGCUUGCAGCUUUUCAGCAGUACAAGGCACACAUAAUAUUUAUUAUNNNNNNNNNNNNNNNNNNNNNNNNNNNNNNNNNNNNNNNNNNNNNNNNNNNNNNNNNNNNNNNNNNNNNNNNNNNNNNNNNNNNNNNNNNNNNNNNNNNNNNNNNNNNNNNNCUCAUGUACAAGAAUUUCUAGGAGUACCUAAGAGAAAGUUAGUAAGUCGUCAAGUUAAAAUUCACACAAGACCUCCAUCAGCACAAGUCAUGAACUGGGAGAAUGUGUUCAAAAUGCUUAAUGGAACGAAGUAUGAGCGUUUUCUUCACUAUACUGAUUAUAAUAGUUAGUG
rnacentral:lncRNA from 1 species